rnacentral:rRNA from 1 species
GUCUAUAUGAGAGUUAUAUAAAGUCUGGCCUGCCCAUUGGGAAACUGAAAGGCCGCGGUAUUAUGACCGUGCGAAGGUAGCAUAAUCAUUAGUCUUUUAAUUAGGGGCUGGAAUGAAUGGUCGGACGAGAAGUAAGCUGUCUUUAUUUCAUGGGUUGAAUUUAACUUUUAAGUGAAAAGGCUUAAAUGGGUUAGAGGGACGAUAAGACCCUAUAAAGUUUAUACAUAAGGCUAGUUAUGAGUUAUUCAGAAUAGUAAAGUUUAUUAUUAGCAAGAUGUUUGGUUGGGGCGACUAGAAUAUAAGUUAUAUAACUGUUUUUUAUUUAAGUCAGAAAUACCUGUUUAUAACGAUCCCUUUUUAGGAUUAAAGAGCAAAUUACUUUAGGGAUAACAGCGUAAUUUUUUUUGAGAGUUCUUAUCGACAAAAGAGUUUGCGACCUCGAUGUUGAAUUAAAAAUUUCUUUGUGGUGUAGCGGUUACAGGAGAAGGUCUGUUCGACCUUUAAAUUUUUACAUGAUUUGAGUUCAGACCGGCGUGAG